CACGGCCCGGGGGCGGGGAGAGCGGCGGCCCGCCGAGAGGCGGCACCCGGCCUGGCCUGCCGGGCCUGAGUCGGGCUGCAGCGGGGAACGGGGUCCCGUCCUCGCCCUGUGGGGCUUCGGCAACCAGCGCCCCGCCGGGCGGCCGGAGGAGUCCUGUCUCGCCGAGUCUGGCUCUCAGGGGCAGGAGCGAAGGUUUGUGCCCUUCGCGACCCGCGAGCGUGUGCACCCAGCUCUCCGUGGGUCUCUGCGGGCGAAGCCAGCCCGCAUCCUCCGCUGAGGACUGAAGAUAAACCCCGGCUGGGCAACAACGCGGGGCCCGGGCACCGGCCUUGUCGCCAGCAGCUGCGCAGCAGUGGCCCUCCGAAAUCCAAAAGCUUUCCAACCAGCUGGGUUUAACCCGUUUCUUCAAAAGCGGGCAAGCGAACAAACCAACGUGAGAUCUUCAGCCAGGUUCUGCCGGUUGUGGCAAUGCUCCCUUGCUGAACCUCAGCCACAGCUGAACGCUGCCUGGGAGCUUCCUUCUGCAGGACACCAUGCAUCACCCAACUGUUAACCUCUCACGAAGGUUUUGGUCUCUGUUGCAAUAAUUGUUUCUCCAUAUUCUGGUUGCUGUAAAUCCUGCACUGUGGCGGCUGCCUACCUGUAGUGCGGAGUGGUUCCGUUGCCCUUCCAUAAACCCAGGGAGUUGGAAAACAGUCUUGAGUUUCUACAGUCUGUAGUUUUAAAACUUGGGAAUCUUGGAAAAAAUUAUGCCUUACUAUUUAAAAUAUUUUUAUUUUAAAUAAUGGCUUUGCUUCAGACUUUCCUGAAAGCCUUCAGUAUUACUCAAAGAAUGUUCUAUGAUUUUUUUUUUUUUUGCAUGUGUCUUGUAAUGAAAAAGGGAAAAGAACUUCUCAUAAAUUUGAGCGUCCCUACUUGUGUGUUGGGGUUCAUUUACUGUGAAAUACAUUGCAAAUCAUAUAGUAAACAGGCUCCCACGGGCACAACGUUGUACACUGUACCCGUAGACAUAAAUCUUUAGGUGUGCUUUAUGAGGCAAAAAAUGCAGGAUUGCUUUCUGAGUAAUUUAUUAUUUUAAGAUCUUUAUUUUUACAGAAUUUUCAAAUUACUGGCUGUUAACUUGACAGAACUGGAUAAAUGGAUGUGAGUUUUAAAAACUGCAUGUAAUACCGGCACAAUUGAAUUAGGCGGUCAAACUUUAUGUGCCUUCAGUCAAGGAAUUAGGACUCAACCCUCGUGCUGAGUAAAAUCAAACAUGAUUCUGUCACAUUGUUACGCUUUCAAAAUGCAUUGGUCCCUGUAUUCUCAAAAGCUUUGAUUUUUAUACACUUACUUUAAAAAAAACCCCACCAAACAACGAAAACCAAAACGCGAGACUGUUAAUCUUCAGUAGAACUAUUUACAUGCUUAACCAGUAAGCAUUUUCCUAAGGCUUUCCCAUCUACGUGCUUCCGUUCUGGGUUUCAAUCCUGAUGGCAAUUCACAGACCAGUCCAAAUACCUUCAUAUGAAACAUGGAUGAUUUGCUAGGACAAUGAGUCAAUUAAUUAUUGACUAUGCAUAAGUAUUUCUUAGGUAAGCUUUAAUGAUUUACUUCCUUUUUGUUGUUUGGACGUUUCCACCUCUUUACUGUACAUGGUGAGCUGUGGGCAUACUGGCAUUCCUGGAAGCUCCUUGUCUGCUUAAUAAAAUGAUUGAAAUGUCUUGUGGAAUGAGGGUCAGUAAACUGUUUUAUAACACUGCCUUUCUUGCGAAAAGGGAGCAAAUAUUUUGGGUAGAAUAUGUCUGAAUGUGACAUCUUGAGUUAAAGCAUCCCACUGUCGUUAUCCCUGUAGUCAAAAUGAGGAAGAGGAGGAAAACUGUCACAUGGCCAUAUUUGCCUCUUGACACCGGUGAGACAAGUAAGAAGAAUUGAGAUUAAUCGCAUUUAAACCCAGCAAAUUAGUAGCUAUUAGAUUGUAUGUGCAGGCUCAUUUCCUGCAAAUCUUACUGUUUUCUUUAACCAAACAAGAAUACUGUAAACAUUCAGUUGGGGGGUGGGGAGGCUGCUCUUACAUUGUGAAUGCUUGAUAAGUUAAUUUAUAUGAAAGGUAGAUGAUGUUUUCUUUAAUCAAAACCAUUACAGUACAUUUGUCCACCCUUCCUCACAGAAUAAUGCCACCUUCUAAAGUAAAAGUACUGAGGGAAUAGAUGAUUACAGCAUUUGAAUAAAAUUGUCAACUUGUUGCUGUAUGAUUUUUUGGUUAAGGAUUGUGUAAAAAAUUGUAAAAAUAUUUAAGAACGGCAGUGAUAAAUAUUUUGGAAUAUAAACUAUUAUACUUCUUAGGAAGAAAUGUUUUAUGUAUUGUUUGCUCGUGUUGUAAUUUAUACUAUUUGUGUGAAAUGAUGGUUUCUUGAAGAAAAAGCAGAUUGUUUCAUUAUGUUAAUUAUUUUUAUUGUAUUAGCUUGUACGUGCUGAUUAUCCGUCUUUUCUUAUUCCAGGUGUGUAGUGGCAUAGAACUGGGAGCAUGCCUCAGGCUUUCCAUAUUUGUAACAGCUUGAUAGCAACCCUGCCACCUCUAUUAAGUGUAACAUACAAUUUUUUUUUAAAGCUGUUUCUGGCUGACUUUCCACCCUUUUUCCCUAAUUUCAGUUUGCUCUGUGCUCUGUUCUGUAGAUCAGGGAAAAAAAGGACCGAAUGUUACUUCUCUCAUAAGCAAAAAAUAUUAACAGUCUUGAUUCUUAAAAUCAUUUUCUCUUCUUAUUACAUUAUAGAAUCUUAGAUUUAUUAGUCUGCUGAGAUGCAUGGAAAGAAAUUUCACUGCAGCUCUUUAGUUGUCUAUCACGGUGCCCAGUGUUCAGCUUUCAGUCAUCCAUUGUCCUCUCUGCAAAAUAACAGCACCCUUCUUUAACUGUCUGACAAAAUUGGACAUACGAUUGUAAUAGUACCCAAGUCACGGGCCUGGAAUGCAAAAUUAAUCUUAGAAUAUUGUAACAAUAUAUUCUGGGCCAUUUCCUCUGCUACUAAAAUUGAGAUUAUUAUAACUUUUUAGUAUCCCAUAUUUUCUGUUUAUACAUUGUGAUGCUUUUUGAACCAAGUGGAGCACUUGUGAAUUUGGUGAGACCUGCUGUCACGAUCUUAGGAAAUUUAGUAUAAAAUUACUUUAAUAAGCAACAUUUCUACUAAUUAAAAGCGUUUUUUUAGAUCAAGUGCAGUCUCUGGUAUAUCUUCUCUGGCCAUUCUCUGUUUGAUACUUAAAUCUCAGUGACUUAGUUUAAAAAUUGUUCUAUUUGCAUGCUUCACUUUUUAUUAUUUACAUUUAUCAUAUGUAUCUUUUUAACUACCAGCUUUGACACUCGUUCUGCUCAGCAUUGCCCCCCAAAUACAGCAAGAUUGCUCAUGGGUUUGGAAAUGAAUCAUACAAGCGGUUGCAGAAUUGAAAACUCUUUCAGAUCUGCUGAAUACCAGAAUCGGGAACUACACACGUGCGUGAAUCUCAGGCGCAUCUCUUAAACACAAGAUAAUCUUUCUCACUGUUUUAUGUAUGCCUUUUGUAAAUGCAGAAGAUUUAUUAGUUAAGCUAAACCAGAGCAGUUAAAGUAUUUAAACUAGCCAGAAUUCUUUUAAGUGACACUGAUUUGAGGCCUUAGUUUCAAGUCAGAAAGCGGAGCAGUGUAUGUGGACAUGUCUGAGGGCACAUUUUUGACUAACUAGCUAAAAAUGCUAGUUAGCUGUUAACCUAACUUUGUAUUGCACUGCAAUUAUUAUAUUGUUUGCUUUGUUAUUAAAUUAUGUUAUUUUGUGAUGGGCAGUGGGUGAUUGAAAUCGUUCCCUGUAGCUUUAUGGCCGUAAUUGCCAGCAAAAAUGUUCAUGAGCCCUAUUGUGAUUCAUUAAAUUACCUCUUG